UAUUAUUAUUAUUAUUAUUACUCUAGCUAGCUAGACCUAUUCCCAGCCCCAAAGAUAACGAAUUACAUAAAACACCACGAGAGACAGAGGAUAGAGAGAAAAAGCUAGGAAGCAAGUCCAGAGUGGGUACGUGGUGCGCAAAAAGGCAAGUAAACCUACUAUAGCAGUAACAAUGAGGACUACUAGGACUUCAGCUGAAUACUCCCACAUGAAGCCUCUUGCCCAAAUGAGUCCUAGAAAACCCAAUAGGCCAAGGAUGUUGUUCAUGAAUACGGCUCCAUAUAUCGCUGAAAACGUUAAUGAAGAUGCUUCUUCCUUCUUCUGACUUGCAGGAAAUACCGUGGCCAUUGUUGUUCUAAAGUUUGCAGCUAAAGGAAGUACUGUAAAUGAAAUGAAGAAAGAAGGUAUGCCCAUGUGUUCUGAUAAGAGUUGAGUGUUAUUUAUCAGAGGUAAUCCAAGGGAAGACACAAUUGCAACUCCAACAGCUACUCUAAGUACUGGUUUAAUCAGAGCAUGUAAUGACUUCUUCCUUAUACUUCUUUUCUUUUUCUCUCUGUAUUUUUCAAUUAAUUUGGAGUUGGUACUAUCGGAUAGCCUUUUCUUGAAUCCAUCCAAAAAUUCUUUCUCAUGAAGCAUAUCAUCCUUAUUUAUGUCAAAAGCUUUCAUCAUUUUCAUGACCACAUCAUCAUGAUCUAAUUUUACACUUUCAAAUUUGCUAAUAAUCAUUCCUUUUAGCUCACCAACUGACAUUUUUCUAUUUCCAUCUUUGUCAAACUCCUCAAAGAGGCUUCGUAUCUUAGCUUCAUCGGGUUUUCCAUCGGUGAGAAGGAAAUCAAGUUGUUGGUCUUGGAUUGUGCAUAAGAUUUCAGACAGUUGCUUCUCAAUCUCGGCUAAUUUAUUCUUUUUCUUCUCGAUCCAUGGUUGAACUAUUUUAUGCAACUCUGGUAAAUAUUUUCUUGAGCAGGCAUUCUUAUCAGUAACCAUCUGCUUAGCUUCAGAGAUAAACCUUUGACAUCCACCCAUAAACUCAUCCAUUGUAAUGAAAGAAUCACUGUCCUGGUCGAAAUGCUUCAUCAAUUCUGUAUUUGCAAAUUCUUCAUCAAGUUGCAGAUCCCCAGAUUUCAUGUUUGUUACGAAAUCUUUGAGUUCAGCUUCUGAUAUGCAAUUAUCCUCAUUUUUAUCGAUAGUAUGAAAUGUCCUCUUGAUGCAAGAAACAUCAAGUUUUCCUUCGUCAUUAACAAGCCUCUUUUUUGCAUACUUCUGUAAAUGAUUUAGAAAUCCAGCCAGUAGAAGCUGAUUCCUGGAGAACUCCAAGCUUCUUUCUUGAAUCCAUUGAUGACGGGACUGAAAGAUAAAGUAUGAGACAAGUACUGCCCCAGAAACUGUAAUUGUAGUUAUGUGGCCCCAUGGAUGCGAUUUGAAGGUAGUAACUACUUCCACCAUUAUAAAUGGAAUCAGUGAAAGAAGCAUUAACCCUGCUGUAAGACUUGUCUUCCUGUCGGUUUCUACACAGUCUUCCUUUAAUAUUGAUAAUCGCUGUUUAACCAGCAAAAACCCUGCAGAAGUUGAUGAUUUCUGCUGAUGAGGAAGUGAGGACUCCUUGGUUAUUUUAGUUCUUCCAAGAAGAACACAAAUUCCCCACUGUAAUGUCAACCAAAAAAUAGUAGAUCCAGCUAGUGAACCAACUCCAUUUUCAACUCUAGCUUGUGCAGCCUUUUUGUUCUGGGCAACUCCAGAAGCUAAAAGUUCAAGAAAACAAACAUCCAAGAACUAGCACAAUUGUAGGCAGAACUUCGAGGAUGCGAAACAAAGUAGCACCGUAGAUACCGACGCCAAGAAUACUGAAGAUUUGCUGUCUACCCUUUGUUAAAAUCUUGUCACCCACAAGUAACAAGUAUUCAAGAACUGCAAUCUGGAAGACGAAACCUGGAAUAUUGGUGGCGCAUGGCAGGAAGCCAUAGUGGUGCACACAUUCAUCUCUUGUGGAAUUCAGGCCUUUUGAUGUUAGAACAGAAGAGUUGAAAUCAAGGUGAUCGACGAUUAUUGUUGUGCCUGACACCAAUUCCUUGGAGCUUAUUAAUCUUAAGCUCCGACUUUGCACAUUUCCAAGCACAAGCAGAAGAAGGGCAAUAGAAAGCGAGAAUUCAAGUCGUGCCAUUGAUGACAGUGAUAAAAGCCAAGAUGAUUAAUUUCAUCUGCCUG
rnacentral:misc_RNA from 1 species